rnacentral:snRNA from 1 species
AACCACUUCGGUGGUCAUCCGUAAAAAUUGGAACGAUACAGAGAAGAUUAGCAUGGCCCCUGCGCAAGGAUGACACGCAUAAAUCGAGAAGUAUCUCACUUUGUG